rnacentral:rRNA from 1 species
AUACGGAGGGUGCAAGCGUUAUUCGGAAUCACUGGGCGUAAAGGACGCGUAGGCGGGUUGGCAAGUCAGAUGUGAAAUCCACAGCUUAACUGUAGAACUGCAUUUGAAACUGCUAACCUAGAGUAUGGGAGGGGGAGAUGGAAUUAGUGGUGUAGGGGUAAAAUCCGUAGAUAUCACUAGGAAUACCGAAAGCGAAGGCGAUCUCCUGGAACAUAACUGACGCUAAGGCGUGAAAGCGUGGGGAGCAAACAGGAUUAGAAACCCUAGUAGUCC